rnacentral:rRNA from 1 species
CCUACGGGAGGCAGCAGUGAGGAAUAUUGGUCAAUGGCCGGAAGGCUGAACCAGCCAUGCCGCGUGAAGGUCAGUGCCCUAUGGGCGUUAAACUUCUUUUGUGCGGGAGCAAUACUGGUCACGUGUGGCCAGACGAGAGUACCGUACGAAUAAGGAUCGGCUAACUCCGUGCCAACAGCCGCGGUAAUAAGGGGGAUGCAAGCGUUAUCCGGAUUUAUUGGGGUUAAAGGGUGCGUAGGCUGGGAGGUAAGGCAGCGGUGAAAUGCCCCAGCUCAACGGGGUGAAGUGCCAUUGAUACUGCCUUGCUGGAAUGCGGAUGCCGUGGGAGGAAUGUGUGGUGUAGCGGUGAAAUGCAGAGAGAUCACACAGAACACCGAUUGCGAAGGCAUCUCACGAAUCCGCGAUUGACGCUGAUGCACGAAAGCGUGGGUAUCAAACAGGAUUAGAUACCCCAGUAGUC